UACGUAGGGUGCAGGCGUUAAUCGGAAUUACUGGGCGUAAAGCGUGCGCAGGCGGUUUGCUAAGACAGGUGUGAAAUCCCCGGGCUUAACCUGGGAACUGCGCUUGUAACUGGCAAGCUUGAGUGUGGCAGAGGGGGGUGGAAUUCCGACGUGUAGCAGUGAAAUGCGUAGAGAUGUGGAGGAACACCGAUGGCGAAGGCAGCCCCCUGGGCUAACACUGACGCUCAUGCACGAAAGCGUGGGGAGCAAACAGG
rnacentral:rRNA from 1 species